GACCCAGACUCCUACGGGAGGCAGCAGUGGGGAAUAUUGCACAAUGGGGGAAACCCUGAUGCAGCAACGCCGCGUGAGUGAAGAAGUAUUUCGAUAUGUAAAGCUCUAUCAGCAGGGAAGAAGAUGACGGUACCUGAGUAAGAAGCCCCGGCUAACUACGUGCCAGCAGCCGCGGUAAUACGUAGGGGGCAAGCGUUAUCCGGAUUUACUGGGUGUAAAGGGGGCGCAGACGGCGAUGCAAGCCAGGAGUGAAAGCCCGGGGCCCAACCCCGGGACUGCUCUUGGAACUGCGUGGCUGGAGUGCAGGAGGGGCAGGCGGAAUUCCUGGUGUAGCGGUGAAAUGCGUAGAUAUCAGGAGGAACACCGGUGGCGAAGGCGGCCUGCUGGACUGCAACUGACGUUGAGGCCCGAAAGCGUGGGGAGCAAACAGGAUUAGAUACCCGAGUAAU
rnacentral:rRNA from 1 species